UACGUAGGGGGCAAGCGUUGUCCGGAAUCAUUGGGCGUAAAGAGCUCGUAGGCGGCUUGUCGCGUCGUCCGUGAAAACCUGCAGCUCAACUGCAGGCUUGCGGUCGAUACGGGCAGGCUAGAGUUCGGUAGGGGAGACUGGAAUUCCUGGUGUAGCGGUGAAAUGCGCAGAUAUCAGGAGGAACACCGGUGGCGAAGGCGGGUCUCUGGGCCGAUACUGACGCUGAGGAGCGAAAGCGUGGGGAGCGAACAGG
rnacentral:rRNA from 1 species